UACAGAGGUCUCAAGCGUUGUUCGGAUUCAUUGGGCGUAAAGCGCGCGUAGGCGGUUUGGUAAGUCGGAUGUGAAAUCCCGAGGCUCAACCUCGUGACUGCAUCCGAUACUGCCCGACUAGAGGUAGGUAGGGGAGAUCGGAAUUCCUGGUGUAGCGGUGAAAUGCGUAGAUAUCUGGAGGAACACCGGUGGCGAAGGCGACAUCCUGGACCGGUAUUGACGCUGAGGCGCGAAAGCCAGGGGAGCAAACGGG
rnacentral:rRNA from 1 species